rnacentral:rRNA from 1 species
GGUUAAGCGAAUAAGCGUACACGGUGGAUGCCUAGGCAGUCAGAGGCGAUGAAGGACGUGCUAAUCUGCGAUAAGCGCCGGUAAGGUGAUAUGAACCGUUAUAACCGGCGAUUUCCGAAUGGGGAAACCCAGUGCAAUUCGUUGCACUAUCAUUACCUGAAUACAUAGGGUAAUGAAGCGAACCGGGAGAACUGAAACAUCUAAGUACCCCGAGGAAAAGAAAUCAAACGAGAUUCCCCCAGUAGCGGCGAGCGAACGGGGAGCAGCCCAGGACCUUAAUCAGCAUCAGUGUUAAGAGAACAGUCUGGAAAGGCUGGCCACAGCAGGUGAUAGCCCUGUAUCUGAAAGCACUGGUGUUGUGAGUCCGAUGAGUAAGGCGGGACACGUGUUAUCCUGUCUGAAUACGGGGGGACCAUCCUCCAAGGCUAAAUACUCCUGACUGACCGAUAGUGAACCAGUACCGUGAGGGAAAGGCGAAAAGAACCCCGGCGAGGGGAGUGAAAAAGAACCUGAAACCGUGUACGUACAAGCAGUGGGAGCACC